rnacentral:rRNA from 1 species
UACGUAGGUGGCGAGCGUUAUCCGGAAUUACUGGGCGUAAAGCGCAAGCAGGCGGCCUGUUAAGUUUGACGUAAAAUCUCCUGGCUUAACUGGGAGGGGUCGUUGGAGACUGGCAGGCUUGAGGCGAUGAGAGGGGCAUGGAAUUCCCGGUGUAGUGGUGGAAUGCGUAGAGAUCGGGAGGAACACCAGAGGCGAAAGCGGUGCCCUGGCAUUGGCCUGACGCUGAGAUGCGAAAGCGUGGGGAGCGAACGGGAUUAGAAACCCCCGUAGUCC